rnacentral:rRNA from 1 species
GACGAACGCUGGCGGCGUGCUUAACACAUGCAAGUCGAACGGAAAGGCCCUGCUUUUGUGGGGUGCUCGAGUGGCGAACGGGUGAGUAACACGUGAGUAACCUGCCCUUGACUUUGGGAUAACUUCAGGAAACUGGGGCUAAUACCGGAUAGGAGCUCCUGCUGCAUGGUGGGGGUUGGAAAGUUUCGGAGGUUGGGGAUGGACUCGCGGCUUAUCAGCUUGUUGGUGGGGUAGUGGCUUACCAAGGCUUUGACGGGUAGCCGGCCUGAGAGGGUGACCGGCCACAUUGGGACUGAGAUACGGCCCAGACUCCUACGGGAGGCAGCAGUGGGGAAUAGUGCACAAUGGGCGGAAGCCUGAUGCAGCAACGCCGCGUGCGGGAUGACGGCCUUCGGGUUGUAAACCGCUUUCGCCUGUGACGAAGCGUGAGUGACGGUAAUGGGUAAAGAAGCACCGGCUAACUACGUG